UGGGGAAUAUUGCACAAUGGGCGAAAGCCUGAUGCAGCCAUGCCGCGUGUAUGAAGAAGGCCUUCGGGUUGUAAAGUACUUUCAGUAGGGAGGAAGGUUCAUGCGUUAAUAGCGUAUGGAUUUGACGUUACCUACAGAAGAAGCACCGGCUAACUCCGUGCCAGCAGCCGCGGUAAUACGGAGGGUGCGAGCGUUAAUCGGAAUUACUGGGCGUAAAGCGCAUGCAGGUGGUUCAUUAAGUCAGAUGUGAAAGCCCGGGGCUCAACCUCGGAACCGCAUUUGAAACUGGUGAACUAGAGUGCUGUAGAGGGGGGUAGAAUUUCAGGUGUAGCGGUGAAAUGCGUAGAGAUCUGAAGGAAUACCAGUGGCGAAGGCGGCCCCCUGGACAGACACUGACACUCAGAUGCGAAAGCGUGGGGAGCAAACAGG
rnacentral:rRNA from 1 species